UGUGGGAGCGAGCCUGCUCGCGAAGACGUUGUGUCAGUAACGUAUAUGCCGACUGACCCAACUCCUUCGCGAGCAGGCUCGCUCCCACA
rnacentral:antisense_RNA from 1 species